AUGCUGCCUGGGCUUUCUCGACCAGAGCAAGAUUACACUACUUUGGUAAAAGUUUCUAGCUUAUACACCUUACAGAAAAGCUCUAUAUCUUUCAAAUCUGAGAGUAAUAUUCCUGAACUAAAGAAAUUGGAGACAAUUCAUCAUAAAGAGACAAGGUCUGAAAUUGUCAAAAGGGCGGCAAAGAAUACUGAAGUAAAUUAUGAUGAUGAUGGAUUUGGUAAAUAUGAAGGAGAUGCAUGCACAAGGGAAUUUAUGGAAUGA